rnacentral:siRNA from 1 species
UAGGCGGCGAGUGAGAGUA